UACGGAGGGUGCAAGCGUUAUCCGGAUUUACUGGGUUUAAAGGGUGCGUAGGCGGCUCAUUAAGUCAGGGGUGAAAGCCUCCAGCUCAACUGGAGAACUGCCAUUGAUACUGAUGAGCUUGAGUAUACUUGAGGUAGGCGGAAUUGCCAGUGUAGCGGUGAAAUGCAUAGAUAUUGUCAAGAACACCAAUUGCGAAGGCAGCUUACUAAAUUAUAACUGACGCUGAGGCACGAAAGUGUGGGUAUCAAACAGG
rnacentral:rRNA from 1 species